GACGAACGCUGGCGGCGUGCUUAACACAUGCAAGUCGAACGCUGAAGACCUGGCUUUUGUUGGGUUGGAUGAGUGGCGAACGGGUGAGUAACACGUGAGUAACCUGCCCUCUUCUUUGGGAUAACGCCCGGAAACGGGUGCUAAUACUGGAUAUUCACUGAUCUUCGCAUGGGGGUUGGUGGAAAGGUUUGUUCUGGUGGGGGAUGGGCUCGCGGCCUAUCAGCUUGUUGGUGGGGUGAUGGCCUACCAAGGCUUUGACGGGUAGCCGGCCUGAGAGGGUGACCGGUCACAUUGGGACUGAGAUACGGCCCAGACUCCUACGGGAGGCAGCAGUGGGGAAUAUUGCACAAUGGGCGAAAGCCUGAUGCAGCGACGCCGCGUGAGGGAUGGAGGCCUUCGGGUUGUAAACCUCUUUCGCUCAUGGUCAAGCCGCAACUGUGGGUUGUAGUGAGGGUAGUGGGUAAAGAAGCGCCGGCUAACUACGUG
rnacentral:rRNA from 1 species